GAUGAACGCUGGCGGCGUGCCUAAUACAUGCAAGUCGAGCGAACGGACGAGAAGCUUGCUUCUCUGAUGUUAGCGGCGGACGGGUGAGUAACACGUGGAUAACCUACCUAUAAGUCUGGGAUACUUCGGGAAACCGGAGCUAAUCCCGGAUAAUAUUUUUAACCGCUUGGUUCGAAAGUAAAAUACGGUCUUGCUGUCACUUAUAGAUGGAUCCUCGCUGCAUUAGCUAGUUGGUAAGUUAACGGCUUAGCAAGGCAACGAUGCAUAGCCGACCUGAGAGGGGGAUAGGCGACAUGGGAAGGGGACCAGCGUCAAGACGACUACGAGAGGGAGCAGAAGGGAACCUGAGGCAGUGGGCGAAAGCAUGACGGAGCAACGCCGCGUGAGUGAUGAAGGUCUUGGGAGCGUAAAACCCGGUUAUUAGUGAAGAACAUAUGUGUAAGUAAAUGAGCACAUCUUGACGGUACCUAAUAAGAAAGCCACGGCUAACUACGUG
rnacentral:rRNA from 1 species